UACGAAGGGGGCUAGCGUUGCUCGGAAUCACUGGGCGUAAAGGGCGCGUAGGCGGCCAUUCAAGUCGGGGGUGAAAGCCCAGGGCUCAACCCUGGAAUUGCCUUCGAUACUGUUUGGCUAGAGACCGGAAGAGGUAAGUGGAACUGCGAGUGUAGAGGUGAAAUUCGUAGAUAUUCGCAAGAACACCAGUGGCGAAGGCGGCUUACAGGUCCGGUUCUGACGCUGAGGCGCGAAAGCGUGGGGAGCAAACAGG
rnacentral:rRNA from 1 species